rnacentral:rRNA from 1 species
UACAGAGGUCUCAAGCGUUGUUCGGAUUCAUUGGGCGUAAAGGGUGCGUAGGUGGUGAUGCAAGUCUGGUGUGAAAUCUCGGAGCUUAACUCCGAAAUUGCACCGGAUACUGCGUUGCUCGAGGACUGUAGAGGAGAUCGGAAUUCACGGUGUAGCAGUGAAAUGCGUAGAUAUCGUGAGGAAGACCAGUUGCGAAGGCGGAUCUCUGGGCAGUUCCUGACGCUGAGGCACGAAGGCCAGGGGAGCAAACGGG